rnacentral:lncRNA from 1 species
UAACUCCCGCAUCCUCCUUGUGCCUGCAAUUUUGCUGCCCCCAGCCGUGUGAAUGGCACUGCCAAAUGCGGGAUUCUUUUCCAUUGCAUUUCAUCUCAUCCAGCCAGAUGGGCCCUGUUCCUUCCCCAAAAUGAGCAGAACCAGUGGCAUUAAUGGCCUCUCCACAGCCCAGCUGUCUGCAAACCACGUGGGCAUCACUCAGGUCCCAGCUGUCAUCACAGAUGGUGCCCCAGGAGCCCUCAUGAUAGAUCUCUACUCUCCCAGCACAGCGACCUCCUCCAUUUACCAGGCGAAGUUGACCACUCUCUGCAAAGAGAAAUGAAAUGCCCGUCAUCCUCUUACCUGAGCAGAUUACAGAGGCCACUAAUCUCCCAUGUGCUGCUCAGUCCCAGUGCAGUGAAACAUAUGCCUCCAGAUCUGACCAUUUCCUUUUCCAAAACGUGCUCCUCCUGGG